UACGGAGGGGGCAAGCGUUGUUCGGAAUUACUGGGCGUAAAGCGCACGUAGGCGGUUUUGUAAGUCAGAGGUGAAAGCCCGGGGCUCAACCCCGGAAUUGCCUUUAAGACUGCAUCGCUAGAAUUGUGGAGAGGUAAGUGGAAUUCCGAGUGUAGAGGUGAAAUUCGUAGAUAUUCGGAAGAACACCAGUGGCGAAGGCGACUUACUGGACACAUAUUGACGCUGAGGUGCGAAAGCGUGGGGAGCAAACAGG
rnacentral:rRNA from 1 species